rnacentral:rRNA from 1 species
UACGUAGGGUGCAAGCGUUGUCCGGAAUUAUUGGGCGUAAAGAGCUCGUAGGCGGUCUGUCGCGUCGGCUGUGAAAACCCGGGGCUCAACCCCGGGCCUGCAGUCGAUACGGGCAGACUAGAGUGCGGUAGGGGAGACUGGAAUUCCUGGUGUAGCGGUGAAAUGCGCAGAUAUCAGGAAGAACACCAAUGGCGAAAGCAGCUCUCUGGGACGGUACUGACGCUGAGACGCGAAAGCGUGGGGAGCGAACAGG